UUGCUCCUAUUUAUUUAAACAUCGUUUUAUUCCUUACUUACUUACUCUUACUGGUAUAUUCGCAAGUACAGUGCAUCACUUAGUUUGACCUAUCCAUGAAUGUUCGUUGGUGCUGCAGAAAGAACGCUAAAUCCAUUGAUAUUGAUGACUCGAGUCCAAUAAACAAACUGCAUAUACCUUUCUUUUCGAAGAUUCCUCGAGUCCCGAGGUCAAUUAAUACGCGAAUGUAUAGACUGACAACUGCUCACCAUGGCGAUAAGCAACGGCCGUAAUUCAGCAAACCCAGCCAGCCCAUUGAUCCAAUUCUGCUUUCACUAUAAUAAACGGGAGUGUAAUGAUUCGUUGGCUCAUUUGCCUGUUUUUGCUAUCUGUAUUCUCACUGGACCAAUUUGAGAAUG
rnacentral:sRNA from 1 species